AAACAAUCUGAUUGUUCUUAAACACACUCUAAUACACAAAAGUGUAUACAAAGUGAUUCAUCCUGUUUUGAUUAGAACGACGAAGAAGCUGUGCUAUUCCCAAACUGGGAAACUGGAAUCACCUGAUUUGAAAAUGGGAUAACUUCUUCAUGCCAACUCCUAUGAGAUUUAUUCAACUUCCUGGUGAUUCUCCACCACUUUAUGUAUCUAAGUCAAGCUUCUUACAUGAGGGAGGUCCCAUUUUAAAAAUCAAAAAACGUUUUAAAAACGUUUUAUUAAUUCCAAAAAAAACUAAAACAACAAUCCUAACUUAUAUAUCCUAAACUAUCGUGUGAGACUGGGUUCUCUUUCGCCAGUCCCUAUUUCCAAAGCUAAAGUGAGAGACAAAGCACCAGUCUCUGCGAUUGAUACACGUGUCAAUAGAGACCAGUCUCACUACACGUGGUAUCAUUUAGAUUGGAUGGAACCCACGUGAAGAUGGGACCCACUUACUACCCGCAUCUGACGCGCUUAUAUCUCGCCAGCUCGAAAAUAAUAUCUCGAUAUUUCUCUCGUCUCGUCGAGGUUUAACUCGGCGUUUGAGGUAUACUUGCGCGUGGUUUUAUUUUUAAUCUAUUUCACGGUAUUCGUUGAACGUUGAACAUCCAUUGGUCACACUUUGCUUAUUUAAGUGUUUUGUUCGAGUAAUGCUUUUUCUCUCUUUAUAGAAGUUUUUGCGUCUCUCCACGUGACCACUUAUCUGAAAGUGGGAUAACUUCUUCAUCCUAACUCCUAUGAGAGCAGAGAGAGAGAGAGCGUUAGAUUUGAGAGCAGUUAAAGAAAGAGAGUGAGAAACAUAGAUUGUUGAGAGAGAGAUAGAGAGAUGGCUAGUGGAAUCGCUCGUGGUCGUUUGGCGGAGGAGAGGAAAUCGUGGAGGAAGAAUCAUCCUCAUGUAUGUGUUUUCUUCUAUAUACUUUUCCAAUUUCAAAUUUUGAUCCUUGGGCAAGUGUUUAUUGGUCUCUGAUUGUGUUUAUUGAUGGUGAAGUUAGGGUUUUGUGGCGAAGCCGGAGACUGGGCCUGAUGGGUCUGUGAAUUUAAUGGUGUGGCAUUGCACUAUUCCUGGUAAAGCCGGUGUAAGUAUACAAUCAUUUAUCAAUUUAUCUUAUACCUCUGCUUAUGUGCGUCGGCUAAUUGUGAAAUUAGGGUUUAUGAAUUUUCUUAUGGGGAUUGUUUAUCAUUUGCUUUUAUGUCUUCAAAGCUUGGACCUUUCACUAGUUAAUGAUUCAUUUUUGAAUUUUACAGUUCCCCACCACCACCACCAUACUACUCGCCGUCACCUAAGGUAGAAUACAAAUCUCCACCACCACCAUAUGUUUACAAUUCUCCCCCACCACCAUACUACUCACCUUCUCCUAAGGUGUACUCCAAGUCUCCUCCACCACCGUAUGUUUACAGUUCUCCACCACCACCAUAUUACUCACCUUCCCCUAAGAUGUCCUACAAGUCUCCUCCACCACCAUAUGUUUACAGCUCCCCACCACCACCACCAUACUACUCACCUUCUCCUAAGGUUGAUGCUGCCAAAGAAUCGAUUCGUGAUUAUUUGGGCAACUAGAGAGGGCCGAAGAGUGUAGCUGGAGAAGUAACAUUCUUCCUCUUUUGUUUUCAUGUUUUGUCGGCUGAUGAAUGAAGCUGAAUUAUAUUUAUAGUAAUUCAUCUUUAUAAAAAUGCACCAUAUAGUUUGUGAUUUGAUCAAUUAAGCCCCCUUUAGUGAGGAAAUUGAUCUACUAACUGUGCUAUUCCCAAACUGGGAAACUAGAAUCACCUGAUUUGAAAGUGGGAUAAAUUCUUCAUCCCAACUCCUAUGAGAUUUAUUAAACUUCCUGGUGAUUCUCCACCACUUUAUGUAUCCAAAUCAAACUUUACACAAAGUGAUUCAUCCUGGUUUGAUUGGAACGAUGAAGAAGCUGUGCUAUUCCCAAACUUGAAAACUGGAAUCACCUGAUUUGAAAGUGGUAUAACUUCUUCUUGCCAACUCCUAUGAGAUUUAUUCAACUUCCUUGUGAUUCUCCACCACUUUAUGUAUCCAAAUCAAGCUUCUUACAAAGUGAUUCAUCCUGGUUUGAUUGGAACGACGAAGAAGCUGUGAUAUUCCCAAGCUGGGAAACUGGAAUCACCUGAUUUGAAAGUGGGAUAACUUCUUCAUGCCAACUCCUAUGAGAUUUAUUCAACUUCCUGGUGAUUCUCCACCACUUUAUGUAUCCAAAUGAAGGUUCUUACAAAAACUUGGCCUCACAUACUCUCUGAUUAAUCUCCGAUUUUUUUCUCACUCGCUAGGCGUGAACCGGCCGCUCGACUAGCACCUAGCGUAGUUCCGAACAUGGGUUUUUGCUAAUAACAAAAGAAAAAUGAAAAAAAGACGCAUAUUUCUUGUAUUACAAGCGGCUCUUUUGGACCCCAUGCAACGGCAGCUACAUACAUGUAUCAUUAUAUAUUAGCAUGAUCAUGAAAAUGAUAUAACAAUCACAUUGUGAGCUACUUACCUCUGCAAGUGAUGACCUUUCCUUGAGUCUCUACCAUGUUCUUGCUGUUCUUUUCGUUGUUGUUAUAUUAAAAUUGUCUUUCUAGGAGUGUAGCUCUAUAUAUAUAUCCAGAAUUUGGGAUCUAUAUGUCUAAUUAUAGUGAACAUGUUGAGUCACAUGUAUAGUAUCCAAACUGAGUCAAUAAUUCCGAAGUCGGGUUACGUAACAAAAGUACAAGGUAUUAAACCAAUAAGUACAGCAGAUUCUUGUUAUAACACGCACAUGUCGAUAUAUAUAAACAUAUGCAUAUAAUAAAAAUACAAAAACUUGGCCUCACAUACUCUAAACUUGGCCUCACAUACUCUCCGAUUAAUCUCCGAUUUGUUAUUCUUGAGUGGAAAUUAAAAAAAAACAAAGCAAAAGUGCUCAAUAACUUUACAAAAAAAAAAAGUCAACUGAUAUAAGAGCAUCAUUAUCGGUACAUAUGGUGAGGAGUUCCAAAAGAAAAAAAAUUAAUUAAUAUUUUAAAGACGAAGAUGCUUGUAAUUGCUGCAACAAGUAUAUAGAACGUUGCCAAUUUUUAACAUAGUCAGGAGUUAGCAGAUAGAAUGGGAAAGCUUUGAUGAGAGAUCAAAUUUGGUCUCUUUUCAAACAGCCAAAACAAAAAAGUUGACUACAAAUUCAACAUGCACACUCUUGUUGUUGUUUUCUUCAUUCACCAUUCUUCUUGUUUCACCUCCAUUGACAUAUUGUUCUUGAUCUUUUCCCCUAUGUUCUUUAGAGAGUUCUUUCUCAUUCUUCUUAUGUUUGGGUUUGAUUUUAUGGAUUUUCCUAUAAUAAACAGUUUCUUUGGACACUUUGAUUGUGGUAGAGGAAUAACUCAUUUAGGUCUAUAUAAAAGAACACCAAAAGUACUAAUUUUGUAUCACGGUCAGUUUCAAGAAAAUAAAAAUUAAAGAAACAAUGAAAGGUUACAUUAUUGCUCUUAUUGUAUGCGGUUGCUUCGCAAUAAUCGUGGUUGGUCUCAUCUUAUGGUGUCUUCAGAACCGCAAAAAGAAAAAAAGAUCGGCAAGGCGAAUCAAGUGUUACGCGGCGUAUGGAAACGUACGACACGGGAGGACACGUGGAUAAACUAGGAACAGAUUGUGUGAGCCCAUUCGAACGUUUCUUAGACGCAAAAGAGGCCCAAAUGAAGCCUAAAGGCGCAACCACUAAUCCCUACGUUGUUUUGUUUUAUUAAAAAUCGCUCAAUCCUAACUUUUUCGGUUAAAAUUGGGAUUUUGGAUUUUUUUAAAACCAUAAUCUCCCGUAAAAGUAUGACUGGUUUCGUUGUUAUCAUCGGCAAACGAACAAACGAUAAGUACCGAUCGUUGGCGUUUUGCUACAAUCACAAAAAAUGAUAUAUAUUGUUUUAAACCAUUUAAAUUCAAAAACUGGUCUGUGGUAGCAGAUGGUUGUCAGAAGAUAAAAUAAUUUUUUAAACUAUAUAAAUAGAAAAUAAAAAUAUUUAAUUAAAAUUGAAAUCAUUGUUUUUUGUCAUCUAAAAUUGAAAUAAUGGUAAUAAUAGAAACACUAAAUAUAUAUAUAUAUAUAAUAUUUUAAUUUAUAUUAUAAAACUUUAAAACAAAAAUAUCUUCUAUGUUUUUUUAAAAAAAAUAAUAGUAUAAUUUUAUAAAUAUAUUUUCUAUAUUUAUUAUAGUAAUAUUUUUUUUGAUAUUUUAUAAUUUUAUAAUAUAAAUAUUGUUACUUAUUAUUUAACCAUUGUUGCAUUUGGGAGUUAACCAGUCAUAAAUAUUUCGUAAAUGCAACAAUUUUUAACUGUCGUAUCCGUCGUACAAAUCUCUUAAUAAUGCUUAAAAUCACAACCAUCCGCAUCCGCAAACACCCGCAACCGCUACGGUUACACUAUCCAGGCCCUAAGUAAAGAUUGGUUAUUUAUAUUUCAGUGAUACUUAUAGCUUUAAAUCCAUUCAUUUGAUAAUUCAAAGAAAUAAAUAUUAUAAUCAAGCAUGGGUUUUCAUUGUUGUACUGAUAUGAAAAGGGAAACUCUAAUAAGAUUUUUGUAUUAACUGGCAGUUCAGAAAUCCCAAAACUUCUUGGUUCAAAAAUAGAAAUAUAUUUUUUCAACAUGUAAAAUUCUUUUUAACAAAGAAAAUAUUCACGCUUAGUUAAGAUCCACAAAAUAAACCAAAUAAUUGAAGUCUGGUGGCAAGGGCUAAUUCGGGGCAUGACGUAAAUUCAUCUGUUUUGAAUUUGAUUCCAACUGAGAACAAAGUUGUUCUUAUUUCAUCAGUUUGGGUUUGUCUUUCGGUCCAAAUAGUUUCUACGGUAAUACAGUAAUAAACGAUUAAAACGAUUUGGUUAUUCUCUGGUAUUAAUUGAAAAAUAUUUCAAAUAGUGGAGGUAAUUGUAAUCAACUAUUUCUAGAACCUACCGGAUCACUUGAUAGGACAUAUAAAAUUACAGAAAAUAAAAUAACAAUGGAGGAAGAAAGUUGAGGCUUGAUUGUGAUAGGAGUCACGGUAAUCUUACGGUCAGUGGGUACGUAGCAUCUCCAAAAAAGUUUCCCUGUUUGGGAAUAUGACAACUUCUUUGUCAUUCUAAUCAAACCAGGAAGAAUCGCGAUGUAAGAACCUUCAUUUGGAUACAUAAGGUAGUGUAGAAUCACCAGGAAGUUGAAUAAAUCUAAUAGGAGUUAGGAUGAAGAAGUUAUCCCACUUUCAGAUAAGGUGAUCCCAGUUUCCCUGUUUGGGAAUAUGACAACUUCUUCGUCAUUCUAAUCAAAACAGGAAGAAUCACGAUGUAAGAACCUUCAUUUGGAUACAUAAAGUAGUGGAGAAUCACCAGGAAGUUGAAUAAAUCUCAUAGGAGUUAAGAUGAAGAAGUUAUCCCACUUUCAAAUAUAGUGAUCUCAGUUUCCNNNNNNNNNNNNNNNNNNNNNNNNNNNNNNNNNNNNNNNNNNNNNNNNNNNNNNNNNNNNNNNNNNNNNNNNNNNNNNNNNNNNNNNNNNNNNNNNNNNNNNNNNNNNNNNNNNNNNNNNNNNNNNNNNNNNNNNNNNNNNNNNNNNNNNNNNNNNNNNNNNNNNNNNNNNNNNNNNNNNNNNNNNNNNNNNNNNNNNNNNNUCCAAAUCAAGCUUCUUACAAAGUCCUUCAUCGUGGUUUGAUUGGAACGACGAAGAAGCUGUCCUAUUCCCAAAUUGGGAAACUGGAAUCACCUGAUUUGAAAGUGUGAUAACUUUUUCAUCCCAACUCCUACGAGAUUUAUUCAACUUCCUGGUGAAUCCCACCACUUUGUCUAUCCAAAUCAAGCUUCUUACAAAGUGAUUCAUCUUGUUUUGAUUGGAACGACGGAGAAGCUGUCCUAUUCCCAGACUGGGAAACUGGAAUCACCUGAUUUGAAAGUGGGAUAACUUCUUUAUCCCAACUCCUAUGAGAUUUAUUCAACUUCCUGGUGAAUCCCACCACUUUGUCUAUCCAAAUAAAGCUUCUUACAAAGUGAUUCAUCCUGUUUUGAUUGGAACGACGGAGAAACUGUCCUAUUCCCAGACUGGGAAGCUGGAAUCACCUGAUUUGAAAGUAGGAUAACUUCUUCAUUCCAAUUCCUAUGAGAUUUGUUCAAUUUCCUGGUGAUUCUCCACCACUUUAUCUAUCCAAAUCAAGCUUUUUAUAAAGUGAUUCAUCCUGGUUUGAUUGGAACGACGAAGAAGCUGUCCUAUUCCCAAACUGGAAAGCUGGAAUCACCUGGUUUGAAAGUGGGAUAACUUUUUCAUCCCAACUCCUAUGAGAUUUUUUCAACUUCCUGGCGAUUCUCCACCACUUUAUCUAUCUAAAUCAAGCUUCUUCUAAAGUGAUUCAUUCUGUUUUGAUUGGAACGACGGAGAAGUUGUCCUAUUCCCAGACUGGGAAACUGGAAUCACCUGAUUUGAAACUGGGAUAACUUCUUCAUCCCAACUCCUAUGAGAUUUGUUCAAUUUCCUGGUAAUUCUCCACCACUUUAUGUAUCCAAAUUAAGCUUCUUAUAAACUGAUUCAAACUGGUUUGAUUGGAACGACAAAGAAGCUGUCAUAUUCCCAAACUGCGAAACUAGAAUCUCCUGAUUUGAAACUGGAAUAACUUCUUCAUCCCAACUCCUAUGAGACUUAUUCAACUUCCUGGUGAUUCUCCACCACUUUAUGUAUCCAAAUCAAGCUUCUUACAAAGUCAUUCAUCAGGGUUUGAUUGGAACGACGAAGAAUCUGUCCUAUUCCCAAAUUGGGAAACUGGAAUCACCUGAUUUGAAAGUGUGAUAACUUUUUCAUCCC
rnacentral:lncRNA from 1 species